rnacentral:lncRNA from 1 species
CAAGACUUAUAGUAAAAUCCCUCUUUACUCUUUACAGCUCUACUCUCAUUGGUAUGUCAACCUCUAGUUUCCUGAGUUUUCACUGCCAAGUCAUGUAAGAGCCCAAAUCAAAUGAAAGGCCAGGACCCGGAACCUAACAAGUGUCUGCAGACCUGCAAUUACAUUCUUCAAGCCAGGAAGCUUCAUCUUCCGGAUCAUCCCAGAAAGGGACAGAGGCGGCCGGUUGGUGCGACUCACAAACAACCUCUUCAGGACAACCUGGUUGAAUGUGGAAUUGCUUCUUCUGGCCAGAAACCUGUACAACUUGACCAACAGCUUCAGGUAGAUAUCCUGGCUCUUGGGCUCCUUGCCGCGAACCUUUCGGUCCUUGUUGUGGCAGAUGUCAACUCCCAUGAUGGCGCCUCCUGCUCUGCCAGGUCCGGAAAGCAGCACAUAGUCUUUUAAAGAGCAUGGAGCUAUUUCUUUAAUGUGAGUACUUAGGUGAAAAUAAAUGACCAUUUUAUGAAACUGCGUUUUAAUAAGAAAUCAGGAACACAGGUAUAUCAGAUAAUUUAGGAAUGUUCACAUAAUCUCUCCAUCUUCUUGUAUAUAGAUAUCCAUGCAUACAGAUAUUUAAUAAUUUUAUUAUUCAAUUAAUAAAACAUGCAACAAUGUAAUAUAAUGAAAGUGAAAUUGAAUGUAUUCUGGGUUUCUUAGAAAAAAAUACUUUUUCCCUUGGAAAUUUUUCAUAUCCCUCUAAUGUAUCAUCUAUAGCAGAAGACAACAGGAAUAUGAGAUUCACCACUUUAGAAAGAAUAAAAACUCUGUGUAGUAAUAUAAGUCAUUAUUCACAUUAUGACUAUUUCAAAUUGCACCUUGAUUUUCAAGUAGAGAUCGAAUACUUCCCAAUGCAGGAGAAAUUUCACAAAAAAGUCUGACAAUAUGCCAUAAGAUGGGAGGGUGGCAAUAUAUUUUCCAUCCCUUCUCUGCUCACUCCUCAUAUACACAGGUAUAGAUUAAGAAAAAGAGAGAAAAGAGUAUAAGAAAAAGUGGGGGUAGAAUGGAAAGAUAAAGCUGACUUGAUUAUCUUCAAAACAAAGUAUUAAAAUAACCAACCAGUACUUUCUUUAAUAAAAUAUUUUGUUACCUAUUAAAUAAAUAAGUAAUUUUUACCCAGAAAACUUCCCAUCAGUUAUGAAAAAAAUAUUAAAUGAAUGGCAUGAAAAUGACAUGGAAAAAAAUGUUACUUAUCAUUCUAUUCAAAAAUUUUAUGAGCAUCAAUGUAAGAAAACAAAUAUGGAAGAAAAAUAUUAAUUAAGCCAUACAAGUGUCUAAAUACCUACAAAUGAAAACAUUAGCAUAUGUUCUAUCUCGUAUUUAAGAUUCACUGGAAUAUCUCGCACAAGACUCAGUAUGCUUGCCCAAGUAACAGUGUAAAGAGAUGUAGACCUUUAACUUUUCCACCACCUACUAUUAACAAUGUCUCUACAUUAUAGAAUCAACUUCUUGCAGCUUCCAAAACAAAGAAAACAGAAUUCUGUUCCCGCCCCUUAUUAAAAUUCAGACUGCUAUUGAAAGGACACAAAGAUAGAUGUGUACCCGCCCCCCACCCGCUACACCCUUGUUCUGCUCUCUAAUCUUUGCACAUACCAGAGAUUUCGUAAGUUCUGUGAGUACCUGGUUUUCUGCACGUACCAGAGAUUUUGUUUUGCACAUACCAGAGAUUUUGUAAGUUCUGAGGCAAGGUCACAAGACGUGUUUAAGUAAGAUAAACUCUUGCUGCCAUAAACCUGCUCCCCGCCUCAAAGUUUGAACCGAAAUAUCAGAAAUGGCAGGAACCAAUCAUAGUUAGCCAAAUCGCCUUGUUCAAACACUAGCCAAUCAUAUAUCUGAUUUGUAUAAUAACUCUAUGCCCACUUUUCU